UGGAAGCAAGAACUCUGUCUAUGAUUUUGAAUUUUUUUCUCGGCAGGGUUGCUGUUGAAUCCUUAGUUGUAACAGGUUCUCCGAGCAUUUUAGAUCCUGUGGGUUCAUGAAGGUGAGCGCCCAUUGACAAAAUAAGGAAAGCAGUUGUCAAACAACCCUCGUUAAUCAGUUGCGUUCCGGAAUGUCUUAACGAAUGUACGUAUUUGCCCUGUAUAGGUUUUUGAAGAUAAAACCAUCAGCGAUCUUGUGGGUUUAUGAAUGGAAAGUUACUCAACUUUCUAAUCCCUCGUGCUUCAGGUUGAGUUGCAUCCCAUGAAAGGGUUGGAGCUAUCUGGUUCUUUCCUUGAGAGGGUUGAAGGUAUCAGGUUAAUAAUAUGGAACGAUUACUGAAUUCUGUUGCAGGCUCUUGCUAGUGGCAUCCACGGACGGACGAUUUGAAUUGAAGAAGAGUGGCUGAUAAUUUAUACUUUCGGAGAUUAUGGCCGGCAAAUAUUUUUUAGCUAAUUUAUAUAUCUAAUCAUGACUGUAGUACUCUUCCUUUAUACAACUCUGUAACUGUACUUGAUUAUGAAUGAGAGGUCUUGCUGUCAGAUAAAUGUAAACUGAAAUCAAGGAAAUGUCCAUUAUCAACACUAGUGGGAGUCAGUCAUGUAUCUCUUUCCUUUAUAGAUGCUGCUUGUGAAGCUAGCCGUUGUAUUCAGAUUCAUGAAUUUACUAUAAACACAACAAUUUG
rnacentral:lncRNA from 1 species